GUGCCAGCAGCCGCGGUAAUACGAGAGGCCCAAACGUUAUUCGGAUUUACUGGGCUUAAAGAGUUCGUAGGCGGCGCGGAAAGUAGGGUGUGAAAGCCCUCGGCUCAACCGAGGAAUUGCGCUCUAAACUGCCGCGCUCGAGGAACCUAGAGGUGAGCAGAACUGAUGGUGGAGCGGUGAAAUGCGUUGAUAUCAUCAGGAAUACCGGAGGCGAAGGCGGCUCACUGGGGGUUAUCUGACGCUGAGGAACGAAAGCCAGGGGAGCAAACGGGAUUAGAUACCCCUGUAGUCC
rnacentral:rRNA from 1 species